UCCCCUUUGGAGAUCACUGGAAACAGCUUCUGGACCACAAAUGGGGUGAACUACUGUAUCGAGAAAGGAGAGAGUAAGACUUGAGAGCUAUCUUGUUAGCUCAGGGUGCAGCUUUGCAAGUCCCCCUGAGUGAUGUCACCCAAUCUCUUGGCUUGAGCUCCACCAUUUUCUCUACAAUUCCUGCCUCCAGCUUGAUCUUCUCAUCUAGGCACCAGACACAGACUUCCAAAUAAGUAUGGAACUGCUUUAGCUGGAAGACCUGAAGCACCUCAAACUCAGCACAGCCAGAGCUAAAACCGUUAUCUUCUUUCUAAAGCCUGUCUUUUCAUUUGUGCUUUUCAUGGACAUUGGUAAAUGUUCUCACUGUUGACAGGUCUAUUGCAUCUUAAAACAUCAGAGUCCUUCAAGUCUUCCUUCUACCUCACUCUAAUAUUUAAUCAUUUCAGGGAUUCUUUUCCCAAAUCUUAAGAAUUAACUUCAGACACACCGAAAUUGAGGGAUGUUGUACAAAAUAUCUGACACUCCUAAAGAGUGUCAAGGCCAGUAAAAACAAGAAAGAUUGAGGAACUUUCACAGAUUGAAUGACUAAGGAGGCACGAUGAAUACAUGCAAGGUCAUACCCUGGACUAGACCCCUUGAAAGUAAAGGACAUUAGUGGUGAAAUGUGAACUAAAUCUGUAGUUAGUUAAUGGUAAUGUGCCAAUGUUAAUUUCAGUUUUUUACAAAUAUUCUGUGGGUCUAGCAGAUAUUAAGAUUAGGGAAAGCUGGGUGAAAGGCAUAUGGAAACUCUAUGCUAUCUUAGCUACAUUUCUACAAAUCAACAAUUUUUCUAAAAUAACAACUAAAAAGCAAAACAAAAA
rnacentral:antisense_RNA from 1 species